rnacentral:tRNA from 1 species
GCGUGGUUGGCCCAGUGGAAAAGGCGCUGCGGGGUAAGCCAAGGAGUUGCCUUGAGUAACAUGUUGGCCGGGCCCCCAGAGAACCCUGGUUCGAAUCCAGGACCGCGUA